rnacentral:rRNA from 1 species
UACGUAGGGUGCAAGCGUUAAUCGGAAUUACUGGGCGUAAAGCGUGCGCAGGCGGUUUUGUAAGACAGUUGUGAAAUCCCCGGGCUCAACCUGGGAAUUGCAUCUGUGACUGCAUAGCUAGAGUACGGUAGAGGGGGAUGGAAUUCCGCGUGUAGCAGUGAAAUGCGUAGAUAUGCGGAGGAACACCGAUGGCGAAGGCAAUCCCCCUGGACCUGUACUGACGCUCAUGCACGAAAGCGUGGG